rnacentral:sRNA from 1 species
AAAGAAAAAUACAAUACAAGGCUUUGUACAUCAUUCUCUUAUUAAAAAGUUUAGAUCUCACAUAAGAAGUUCUAUCGAAAUUUACAAUUUUAAUAUACAAGAUUACAAUAAAAACUACCAGGUUUCCGAUCAUAAAUUUCAGAUAAUACUAACAGAAAGAACGACAAUCACAUCCGUCGAUCAAAGUUUUUGUAAAAGAUCCUUCGAUUUUUUUGUAUACAUAAUGAUAUUAUUUAAAAUUCAAAUAUCAUAUACAUAUUUACAAUUUUUGUAUGUCCGCCUAUCUAUGGGGAUCUUAUCUAGUUAAUCAAUGAAAUU